rnacentral:rRNA from 1 species
CGGGGUGGAGUAAUGUCUGGGAAACGUGCCUGAUGGAGGGGGAUAACUACUGGAAACGGUAGCUAAUACCGCAUAACGUCGCAAGACCAAAGAGGGGGACCGUUCGGGCCUCUUGCCAUCGGAUGUGCUCAGAUGGGAUUAGCUAGUAGGUGGGGUAACGGCUCACCUAGGCGACGAUCCCUAGCUGGUCUGAGAGGAUGACCAGCCACACUGGAACUGAGACACGGUCCAG